rnacentral:rRNA from 1 species
GAUGAACGCUGGCGGCGUGCUUAACACAUGCAAGUCGAACGAUGAAGCUCAGCUUGCUGGGUGGAUUAGUGGCGAACGGGUGAGUAACACGUGAGUAACCUGCCCUUAACUCUGGGAUAAGCCUGGGAAACUAGGUCUAAUACCGGAUAGGAGCGCCUACCGCAUGGUGGGUGUUGGAAAGAUUUAUCGGUUUUGGAUGGACUCGCGGCCUAUCAGCUUGUUGGUGAGGUAAUGGCUCACCAAGGCGACGACGGGUAGCCGGCCUGAGAGGGUGACCGGCCACACUGGGACUGAGAUACGGCCCAGACUCCUACGGGAGGCAGCAGUGGGGAAUAUUGCACAAUGGGCGAAAGCCUGAUGCAGCGACGCCGCGUGAGGGAUGACGGCCUUCGGGUUGUAAACCUCUUUCAGUAGGGAAGAAGCGAAAGUGACGGUACCUGCAGAAGAAGCACCGGCUAACUACGUG